AAACUGCUGUGUACAAUCCUCAAGUUAAUGGACAACAACACAGUGGAUGUCGACUAAAAAUUCAUAAAGGAUCAGAUAUCUUACAAGCUGGUUGGAGAGUGGACCCAACGUUAUACGGGGAUACUAAAACUAGAUUUUUUAUACAUUUCCAGGCUGGUAAAAUUCAAUGCUUCAAUACAGUAUGUCCUGGCUUUGUACAAGUAAAUCAUGACGUACCUCUUGAUGGUUCAUUCACGGAUAUUUCAGAACAUGGAGGAGAAAUUUGGAGUCUGAAAAUAUACAUUAAUCGGGUACAUUUUAUAUUGUCUUUAUUUUUUUUAUUUAGAGUCAUUGAAUAUUUUAUACAUAUAUAGUAAUUAUAGUUAGGAGAUAACAUAAAUAUUGUUAUUGACAACUUAUUAUUAUUAUAUUUUUUUUGAGAAAAGGACUCAUCCGGGAAUUGGUGGAUUUCACUGAAUGAUGACUUUACGCAAAUAGGUUUCUGGCCACAAAGUCUCUUCACUGACUUGAAAAGUUUUGCUACGAAUGUUGAUUGGGGAGGAGUUGUAUAUAGUCCACCAGGUGUACCAAAACCUCUCAUGGGCUCAAGCUAUUUUCCUAUUGAAAACAGUUCCUAUGAUGCUUAUUGCGAUGAUGUUGCAAUUGUCAAUGAGGAAGGAAAAAUAAUUGAAGUAGAUACAUUAGCCACACAUACCGAUAAUCCGUACAAGGUUGAAUUUAAACGACUUUCAAAAGGUGCAAUAUAUAAGUAUUUUGUUCUGUAUGGGGGACCGGGUGAAAGUACACAUGUUUAAUAGGAAAUAAAUUCUUCUAAAUCAUGAAAGAAGUUGAAGAAAAUUGUUCCUACUUAUUCUAUAUACACCUUUAAUUUGAAUGUUAUAUUCUUCCAAAGAAAUGCAAAGGAAAAGAAAGGAAAAUGAUC